UGCCAGCCGCCGCGGUAAUACAGAGGGUGCAAACGUUGUUCGGAAUUACUGGGCGUAAAGCGUAUGUAGGCGGCUAUGUAGGUCGGAUGUGAAAGCCUUUGGCUCAACCAAAGAAGUGCAUUCGAAACCACAUAGCUAGAGUGUUGGAGAGGAAAGUGGAAUUCCUGGUGUAGAGGUGAAAUUCGUAGAUAUCAGGAGGAACACCGGUGGCGAAAACGGCUUUCUGGACAAACACUGACGCUGAGAUACGAAAGCGUGGGGAGCAAACAGGAUUAGAUA
rnacentral:rRNA from 1 species